UUUGAAAAGCGUUAAAGCUUAACAAUAACCUUAUCCCCAAUUUCAUACUCUCCUACGAACCCUACCUAUAUUUAGUAUUGAGUAAUCUUAUAAAAUUAUAAGAGAUACAAUGUUAAAACUAGUAAUAUGAAGCAGCCCUUCUCCAUAAUGCAAGCAAAUACCAAAAUGGACUAACCAUUGGUUCUUAACGUUCAUGAGCUCAACCUAGCAACACUCCCCUUCGAAAACCCUAUGCCCAAAUCACGUUAACCUUACACUAGAGCAUUCCUGGAAAGAUAAAAAGAAAAAGAAGGAACUCGGCAAACUUAAAUCCCGCCUGUUUACCAAAAACAUCGCCUCUUGACACCAUACCCCCUAUAAGAGGUCCAGCCUGCCCAGUGAAAUUUUAACGGCCGCGGUACUCUGACCGUGCGAAGGUAGCAUAAUCACUUGUUCUUUAAAUGAGGACUAGUAUCAACGGCAUCACGAGGAUUUUACUGUCUCCUUUUUCCUAUCGGUGAAACUGAUCUCCCCGUGAAGAAGCGGGGAUAAUAUUAUAAGACGAGAAGACCCCAUGGAGCUUUAAACCCAGUAACACCUCAAACACACCCCUUCCCAAAAGUUUUAAUGUUCUGUUCACUGGUUUUAGGUUGGGGCGACCGCGGAGUACAACUUAACCUCCACAGCGCACGGAACUAAUUCCUUACCUGAGAGCUACACCUCAAAGAAUUAUUACAUUAACGUAAAAUGAUCCAAUAUUUUCCUUAUUGAUUAAUGAACCAAGUUACCCUGGGGAUAACAGCGCAAUCCAUUUCUAGAGCCCCUAUCGACAAAUGGGUUUACGACCUCGAUGUUGGAUCAGGGUAUCCCAGUGGUGCAGCCGCUACUAAUGGUUUGUUUGUUCAACAAUUAAAACCCUACGUGAUCUGAG
rnacentral:rRNA from 1 species